AUUGAACGCUGGCGGCAGGCCUAACACAUGCAAGUCGAACGAGUGGCGGACGGGUUAGUAAUGUCUGGGAAACUGCCUGAUGGAGGGGGAUAACUACUGGAAACUGUAGCUAAUACCGCCUACCAUCAGCUGUGCCCAGGUGGGAUUAGCUUGUUGGUGGGGUAACGGCUCACCAAGGCGACGAUCCCUAGCUGGUCUGAGAGGAUGACCAGUCACACUGGAACUGAGACACGGUCCAGACUCCUACGGGAGGCAGCAGGGGGGAAUAUUGGACAAUGGGCGAAAGCCUGAUGCAGCCAUGCCGCGUGUAUGAAGAAGGCCUUCGGGUUGUAAAGUACUUUAAGCGGGGAGGCGUUACCCGCAGAAGAAGCACCGGCUAACUCCGUGCCAGCAGCCGCGGUAAUAC
rnacentral:rRNA from 1 species